ACGGCGAGUGAAGCGGGAUGAGCUCAAAUUUAAAAUCUGGCUGGUUUACUAGUCCGAAUUGUAGUUUAUAGAAGCGUUUUCGGUGGCAGCCUGGGUAUAAAUCCUUUGGAAUAGGGUAUCAUAGAGGGUGAGAAUCCCGUCUUUGACUCAGUGCAUGCUACUAUGUGAUACGUUUUCAAAGAGUCGAGUUGUUUGGGAAUGCAGCUCAAAAUGGGUGGUAAAUUUCAUCUAAGGCUAAAUAUUGGCGAGAGACCGAUAGCGAACAAGUACCGUGAGGGAAAGAUGAAAAGAACUUUGAAAAGAGAGUUAAACAGUGCGUGAAAUUGUUGAAAGGGAAACGCUUGACACCAGUUAUGCGGGUGGAAAAUCAGUCUUUUGCAAUGGGGAGUUGUGGGCGUUCAGACCGCAAGGCUGGCGUUUGCUUCAUCUUUGUUGUAAGUGAUGCACUUUUUCAUUUGCAGGUCAACAUCAGUUUGCUUUGCUGGACAAAACCCCAAGGGAAGGUGACAGCUUAGGCUGUGUUAUAGCCCUGGGGCGAUACAGUGGAGUGGACUGAGGUUUCGCAGUGUGUGCUCUCGGGCAAGGCUGACUGGGUGCUAUGGGAUCGUUCGGCGUACAAUGCAUGCAUUUCGCGUCGUGUCUUUUUCGUACUCGCUCAACUCGGCUCU
rnacentral:rRNA from 1 species